UGGGGAAUAUUGCACAAUGGGCGCAAGCCUGAUGCAGCCAUGCCGCGUGUAUGAAGAAGGCCUUCGGGUUGUAAAGUACUUUCAGUCGGGAGGAAGGUGGUAAGGUUAAUAACCUUAUCAAUUGACGUUACCGACAGAAGAAGCACCGGCUAACUCCGUGCCAGCAGCCGCGGUAAUACGAGGGUGCAAGCGUUAAUCGGAAUUACUGGGCGUAAAGCGCACGCAGGCGGUUGAUUGAGUCAGAUGUGAAAUCCCCGGGCUUAACCCGGGAAUUGCAUCUGAUACUGGUCAGCUAGAGUCUUGUAGAGGGGGGUAGAAUUCCAUGUGUAGCGGUGAAAUGCGUAGAGAUGUGGAGGAAUACCGGUGGCGAAGGCGGCCCCCUGGACAAAGACUGACGCUCAGGUGCGAAAGCGUGGGGAGCAAACAGG
rnacentral:rRNA from 1 species